AUGAAGGUCAACUUUGAAGAUGAGGUGCAAGCAUUGUUGCUGCUGAGUUCCAUGCCUGAUAGUUGGAACACGCUUGUUGUGUCACUUAGCAAUUCAGCUCCGGAUGAGAAGCUGACUUUGGAGAUGGUGAAGAACAAUAUGCUGAAUGAAGAAGCCAGAAAGAAGGAAAAAGGUGAUGCCUCUUCUUCUGAUGUGUAUGUGGCUGAAACCCAUGGAAAGAAUGAGAACCAUGGACGCAACAAUACAAGAUUUCAGCAAGGCAAAAGCAAAUCCAGGGGGGAUCAAAGUCAAAACAGAGAAACGAUAUUACUUGCUUUCAUUGUGGCAAUCCGGGACACAUAA
rnacentral:rRNA from 1 species